rnacentral:misc_RNA from 1 species
UAAAGAAAGUGUUUAAAGACUACUGUCAAUGGCGGGGAAUUCUAUUUAGUAAGCACUAAGUUAGUUGGUUAGAGUACUGGAAUUACUAAUUACUCUUUUGGUUUUUGGAACGUAUAUUCUGCAUGACUUCAUCAUCUUCGAUAUCCUCUUCAGGUCCAUCAUCUAAAUUAUGUCAACCCUUUGUUAAAAUCUCAAUUACUGAUUUGAAAGAUUCCGUUAUCUAUGAUGAGAAAGUUGGAUCUUGGUCUAUGGAUGGAGAGUCUCUUACCAUGGUUUGGAUUCAAGGUAUUUGCCAGAGUUUUCGACUCGUACGGAAAUUAGUGGACUCUGACACGAUUCUCGCAUCAGAAGAGGGUGAAAUAGGAUCAAAUAUAAGUAUUCGAGGUGUAUCCAAAGUCCCGGGAGGUGGAGGAGAUUGGAUAAAAGAAGGACUUUAUAUUCAAGUUCUCGGAGAAAUCCUUGGAUCAACUCUUAUUUCUGUGCGAGCUCUCAAAAUAGUAGAUCUAACAGAACAAUCCGUCCUCCGAUCCUUUUGGCCACUUGAGAGAAUUGAACUCUCUAAAUUUCGUGGAGGGGAAAUCAAAUUCUCAGCUUCCUAAAAUAGUGAUGUAUUCUUCAGCAUUGUCUUCUUCCUCAUCUGAUGAUGAGGAAGAUACCCUUAAUGUUUUUUCUGAAAGUUUUGACCCAUUGGCUGUCAUCUAUAACCCAGGACUAAAGAAAGUGCCCGACCCUUCAGCCCCCGUGUUGGACAAUGUAGAUAAAUUUGUAAGUGUUGUAGAAAAGAAACGCACGAAUCAUAAACCUCAGAAAGUGAAACAAGAAGAACCUUCAACGAGUUUUGAAAGGAAUUUUAAGCCUGAACAAAUGCCUAUUCAAGGAAAACCAAGAAAGGAUGGACCAAAUGUUUGGCAAUUUAUGGAUAAAGUAAAAGGUCCAUUAUCUCUUCUAAAAAAGGCGCGUGAGGAACAACUACGUAUUCGUGUUUAUACUCGAGGAGUAAAUUAUUUGAGAGGAUUUAUGACUGGAUAUCUGUUAGCCUUUGACAAACAUUGGAAUUUGGCAUUGAUAGAUGUGGAUGAAGUCUUUAAAAAAAGACGUUUCCCUAAAACCCCGGCCGGUCUCAAUGAGUCCCUUGAAACCUUAUCCCUAAAAUCCAAUUCUAAGAAAGACACUGAAUUUGAUAAUGAAACCAAUAUGAAAAUUAUUAAAACUAAUCGAAGAUGGAUCCACUGUGAAAGACAUGUAGGGCAGUUAGUGUUAAGGGGUGAACAUGUUUCUCAUGUCGUGAUCCUAUAGUUGAAAUACAUAUAUAUAUAUAUCACCAUCUUAUAUGAUAAAAUAUUUAUAUAUUCUGUCAAUCAAAAAUCUAUUCCUUAUUUCAGAUGGAUGAGGCAACGGUUUUGAAGGGCUUGAUUGAUAAAAUUCGAGAUGCUAGAGAAAAUUUGAAGUUAUUCAAAGAUGAAACUGAUGAUAUUGACUCAUGUCCUCAGAAUAAAAAGAGCAAAAUUAAUAAUGCUUAUGAGAAAAGUGCCAUGAUUGUUGCAAAGGAAACGGAGCUUCUUGGAUCAUCAGUUGUUGAAGAACUACCCGGAGAUGAUGGAGCUCAAUAUUUUUUAGCUAUAGCUGGAAUGCAAAAGAAUAUUCAAAACCUACGGGAGUUAAAACAAAUGAGUGAGCAUAUCCUAAGUAACAAUAUGGAGCAUAUCAAAGAAAUGGAUAACAUCGUUCAACUUAGGGAUAGUAUUGACCAUGAGUGUCGCGAAAAAAUGGAAAAGUCCAAGGUUGACAAGGGUAAUGAGGGUGAUCAGAGUCGACCAGAGGGGGAAGCAGAGACCAUUAAGGAUUUAGAGGCCAAUAUUCGAGACACAAGGGCUGCAUAUAAGCAUAUCAAAUCCGAAUUUGCAGCUUUUCUCGAGAGAAUAGAUCAUAAUGAAAUAAAUCAAAUCGGAAUGUUUUUACAAGCUCUUUGGACUUCGUAUGCUAAGAAUGUGAGCAAUGAUGAAUCAAGCUAUCUUAGGAUAUCGCAUCUCGACUUUGAUGUUAAUCAAAAUGACGUGAGUAAACUUGUAUCUGAGGGCAUUAUAACUGCCCAUCCGGAUGACCCCGAUCAAGUCAAACUCAUGCGGUUCAAAAGAUGAAGAGUGAAGAAUUCCUCACAAUAAGAAGACUACAUACCCCUUUUUAUGAUAGCUUCCACCAGGUUUUUUUAUCUAUAACAUAUUUUUUAAGAAAACCAAAUUUCUGUUCCUAUAAUAAAUAUGGCAUUUAUGUUUCUACUGAUUAUUGCCUCUAAAAUAAUAUAAUAUUUCCAAAUUAUAAGAAUAAAAGUAAUAUUUAAAGUACA